rnacentral:rRNA from 1 species
AUUGAACGCUGGCGGCGUGCUUAACACAUGCAAGUCGAGCGGUAACAGGUGUAGCAAUACAUGCUGACGAGCGGCGAACGGGUGAGUAAUGCUUCGGAAUCUUCCUCGUAGUGGGGAAUAACCUGGGGAAACUCAGGCUAAUACCGCAUACGAACUACGGUUGAAAGCAGGGGAUCGCAAGACCUUGCGCUAUGAGAUGAGCCGAAGUCGGAUUAGCUAGUUGGUGAGGUAAAGGCUCACCAAGGCGACGAUCCGUAGCUGGUCUGAGAGGACGACAAGCCACACUGGGAAUGAGACACGGCCCAGACUCCUACGGGAGGCAACAGUGGGGAAUAUUGGACAAUGGGGGCAACCCUGAUCCAGCGACGCCGCGUGUGUGAAGAAGGCCUGCGGGUUGUAAAGCACUUUUAGUGGGGAUGAAAAGCCAAGGGCUAAUACCCUUUGGUCUUGACCUAACCCAAAGAAAAAGCACCGGCUAACUCUGUGCCAGCCGCCGCCGUAA